ensembl:lncRNA A1BG-AS1 A1BG antisense RNA 1
CAUCUUCCCUGUCUUGUUCCUGGGCGCAGAGGGCUCCUCCGGCGCCGCCGAGCUGCGCCCGCUGCCUUCACACCCCGGACAUCCGCGCCACACGUGACACCUGCGGAGACAGCCCCCGUAAGGCUCCUGUUCCCGCCCCCUCCCGCCCCAGGGACCCAGACCCCAGGAGGCCUCACCCCACAGCAAGAGAAAGACCACGAGCAUGGACAUGAUGGUCGCGCUCACUCCGGUGCAGUGAGUGUCUGGGUGAUGGAUCCUAGAACCUGUUCUAGAAGGAGACGCUGAGUUCUCCCCACUCUACCUGGAGCUGCUGAGGUCAAGUGGAGAGUGCCGGGGCUGAAGCCCAGCGAGCCCCUCCCUGUCACACCACACUGCACAUGUGACACCAAAGGUGGGGUUCACCUCUUUUCAGACUUUCUGCGGUUGCCCUCACAUGGGCUGUCUGGAGGUGCACCCUCACUCUUCCUGAGGACUGUGGUUCCUUCUCCAUCACUGGUUCAUUCUGCAUGGUGUGACCCACCACGGCUCUGGAGUCGGAUUUCCACCCAGGUCAUUCAGCUGAGACCUGCGCUUCCCAGGCCUACCCGUGACAUGUGCUCAGUUACCUGAGCUGCUGGUGGUCACUCAUGUGGCUAUAGCCUGCUGCCUGGAGGCCAGGCCUCCCGCUUCCCCUGCCUCCCCCUCUCCUCACCACAGCCUGUUGGGAUGGAACAGGACAGGGGUGAGACCGUGGUGCUUUCACACUCAGCCUCCAUGGACAUCCUGUCAUUCCCACCCGGGGAGGUCUGGUCCCCACCCUGGGUGUCCCAGCCUAGCUCCGCUACGAGUGUGAGGGCCCAGGGCAACCGCCUAGCCCUCAUCUGCCCCCUGCACUGCAUCCUCCCCACUCAUUCAUUCCACAGGCAUUUAUUGAGCAUCUACUGUGUGCCAGAUGCAAAGAAGACAGUGGGAUAACUGGG